rnacentral:rRNA from 1 species
UUGCCCUAGUAACGGCGAGUGAAGCGGCAACAGCUCAAAUUUGAAAUCUGGCGUCUUCGGCGUCCGAGUUGUAAUUUGCAGAGGGCGCUUUGGCAUUGGCAGCGGUCCAAGUUCCUUGGAACAGGACGUCACAGAGGGUGAGAAUCCCGUACGUGGUCGCUAGCCUUUACCGUGUAAAGCCCCUUCGACGAGUCGAGUUGUUUGGGAAUGCAGCUCUAAAUGGGAGGUAAAUUUCUUCUAAAGCUAAAUACUGGCCAGAGACCGAUAGCGCACAAGUAGAGUGAUCGAAAGAUGAAAAGCACUUUGGAAAGAGAGUUAAAAAGCACGUGAAAUUGUUGAAAGGGAAGCGCUUGCAGCCAGACUUGCCUGUAGUUGCUCAUCCGGGUUUUUACCCGGUGCACUCUUCUAUAGGCAGGCCAGCAUCAGUUUGGGCGGUUGGAUAAAGGUCUCUGUCACGUACCUCCUCUCGGGGAGAACUUAUAGGGGAGACGUAAUGCAACCAGCCUGGACUGAGGUCCGCGCAUCUGCUAGGAUGCUGGCGUAAUGGCUGUAAGCGGCCCGUCUUGAAACACGGACCAAGGAGUCUAACAUCUAUGCGAGUGUUUGGGUGUCAAGCCCGAGCGCGUAAUGAAAGUGAACGGAGGUGGGAACCUUUCGGGGUGCACCAUCGACCGAUCCUGAUGUCUUCGGAUGGAUUUGAGUAAGAGCAUAGCUGUUGGGACCCGAAAGAUGGUGAACUAUGCUUGAAUAGGGUGAAGCCAGAGGAAACUCUGGUGGAGGCUCGCAGCGGUUCUGACGUGCAAAUC